GGAGGACGGCGGGGCUGGGGGAAGCGUGGGCGGCUCCUGCUCGCCUGGGACUUCCCCGAGGACACCGCAGCCGGCACCUGCCCCGCUCCCAGAGCACGAGCCUUGUCGGCAUCGCGGCCGCCGGCACCACCUUCUCCUCCACACCCAGAUGUGGCCUCAGGACCGGCGCUGGUGGCACCUCGGCUCCUGACGUCCCUCGUCCCAGCUGCAGAGCCACUGGGGGCCUCCUGCAGGGAAGGUCAGAGCAGCUGAGCCGGGCUGAAAAAUCUGCAAGCGUACAGCGCGCUAAGAGGGCUGUCCCCGUGCCUGGAGCUGGCUGGGAAAGGAGGCUGGAGGAGGUGGCAGGAAGGAUGCACAGCCCCUCUCCGCAGCACCAGCUCUCUGCCACGCUGCCAGCCCGCCUGCAGCAUGCAGCCAGCCCAGUCCUUCAGCACCUGUGUGUGAUCUCCCUGUGGAGGAGAGCAGAUGCUGGAGGCAAACUGGACGGCUACGGUUGGAAACCAGCGACCUGGAAAGCCAAGAGCAGGCACAGCUGCCUCUGAAGUGCUCCGUGUCCUAGGGCGCCGGGUGGUGUUUGCUUUGGCCAGCCGCUGCCCUGCGCUGUGCCAGCAGCUGCUUGGCUUUGCUGCCGAUAAGGCGAUUAGCAGCAAAUUGGUUAAUGCCUUCCCCGAGAGCAGCACGCACAGCCACCCCGCGCUCAGGUCACCUGGGGGGCUGCAGAGGGCCUGGG
rnacentral:lncRNA from 1 species